GAUGAACGCUGGCGGCGUGCCUAAUACAUGCAAGUCGAGCGAACAGACGAGGAGCUUGCUCCUCUGACGUUAGCGGCGGACGGGUGAGUAACACGUGGAUAACCUACCUAUAAGACUGGGAUAACUUCGGGAAACCGGAGCUAAUACCGGAUAAUAUAUUGAACCGCAUGGUUCAAUAGUGAAAGACGGUUUUGCUGUCACUUAUAGAUGGAUCCGCGCCGCAUUAGCUAGUUGGUAAGGUAACGGCUUACCAAGGCAACGAUGCGUAGCCGACCUGAGAGGGUGAUCGGCCACACUGGAAGUGAGACACGGUCCAGACUCCUACGGGAGGCAGCAGUAGGGAAUCUUCCGCAAUGGGCGAAAGCCUGACGGAGCAACGCCGCGUGAGUGAUGAAGGUCUUCGGAUCGUAAAACUCUGUUAUUAGGGAAGAACAAAUGUGUAAGUAACUAUGCACGUCUUGACGGUACCUAAUCAGAAAGCCACGGCUAACUACGUG
rnacentral:rRNA from 1 species